rnacentral:lncRNA from 1 species
UAAAACCUCUAUAAAUUAAUACUCUAUAAAUUAAUAAACACUAUAAAUUUUGCUGGUCCCAAGUCGGGCCAAUGUAAAAAUUGACCAAAUUCGAUAAGAUAAUAAGAUAAUAAUUAUUUUGACACCCCCAUGUAAAAUAUAGUCCCAAUAAUAUCAUAAUUAAUAAUCACUCUAUAUAUACAUAUAAGUAGAUAUAUUAAUAUAUGUUUUUAGGGUUUUAUAAAAAUGAAUUUU